GGCCUACCUGGUUAAAUAAAGGUGUUCUCAACUGGCCUACCUGGUUAAAUAAAGGUGUUCUCAACUGGCCUCCCUGGUUAAAUAAAGGUGUUCUCAACUGGCCUACCUGGUUAAAUAAAGGUGUUCUCAACUGGCCGACCUGGUUAAAUAAAGGUGUUCUCAACUGGCCGACCUGGUUAAAUAAAGGUGUUCUCAACUGGCCUCCCUGGUUAAAUAAAGGUGUUCUCAACUGGCCUACCUGGUUAAAUAAAGGUGUUCUCAACUGGCCGACCUGGUUAAAUAAAGGUGUUCUCAACUAGCCUACCUGGUUAAAUAAAGGUGUUCUCAACUGGCCUACCUGGUUAAAUAAAGGUGUUCUCAACUGGCCUACCUGGUUAAAUAAAGGUGUUCUCAACUGGCCUACCUG
ensembl:lncRNA